AGCAGGUGGCACAGUGGUUAAAGUGUUUCUCUGCAGAAAAGGACCCGGGUUUGAAUCCCUGGUCCUUCUG
rnacentral:tRNA from 1 species